UCAACUUCACAUAAUGUGAGGUUAAAUUCACAACUUCUUUUUCUAGGGUACACGUCAUUUUUUUUCACAGCUACUCAUCAUAUGUUGAAGAGAUAAAGACGCAUGAGUAGGAAAAUUAACUAAAGACCAAAGAGGUUAAAAUAAUCCCAUUGCCAUCAUUGGGGCACUUGAGAAUGUCUUGUCUCUAUCAUUUCUCUCCUUUAUUCAUCUUAUGUUAUCCGUAUCAUGAGAAGAUCAAAAGAGAAAGACUAACUCACUCUUUCCUACUAAAAAAAAUCUUAUCAAUAUAUCUACAUUGAGAAGAUUUUCACUAACUAGAAAUUCCUAUGGCUACUGAGGUUAAAAUAAUCUCACUGCCAUCAUUGGGGCACUCGAGAAGGUAUGGUUUUAAUAUGUUUGAGCGAAAUAUUAUAUGUUUGGGUGGCUUUUUCUUCAUCUGAGAAGGUGUGGGUAAAAAUCCAAAACCAAAAUAUGAUUACUAUCGUGGCUACACUAUACUCAGGGCCGCUCACCUGCGGGACACUCUUUAAGGGACAAAACGGGACAAAUCAGCCACAACCGUUGGAUGUUAAAUGAAUAAAUCCUACGGAUCUGUUUCAUCCUAAUUCUUAUCCCAACUCCCACUGUUCAUCUUCUUCUCCUCUCACGGCUCUCUAAGCCAUGCCCAGAUUUGUUCAUCUUCUUCUCCUCUCAUAUCUAAGCCAUGCCCAGAUUGUUUUCAACUUUUCAUCUUCUGCUCCUCUCAUAUCUUUAUCUGCCUUUCCAUUUUUUUUACCCAUUUCUUAGGUAAAGUCUCCCAACUAUAUUUGAAAAUGAUGAAAUGGGUACGACCUGUGAGAGUUUAUGCAGAUGGGAUAUAUGAUCUCUUUCACUUCGGACAUGCCCGUUCUCUCGAGCAAGCCAAGAAAUCUUAGCUGCUGGAUGUUGAGGUCUUGAAUGCGAUAUUGAAUUGCAUUUGUCUUGGAAUAUGAAUUUUGGGCCAAAAAGUUUCAUCAUUUUCAAAUAUAGUUGGGAGACUUUACCUAAGAAAUGGGUAAAAAAAAUGGAAAGGCAGAUAAAGAUAUGAGAGGAGCAGAAGAUGAAAAGUUGAAAACAAUCUGGGCAUGGCUUAGAUAUGAGAGGAGAAGAAGAUGAACAAAUCUGGGCAUGGCUUAGAGAGCCGUGAGAGGAGAAGAAGAUGAACAGUGGGAGUUGGGAUAAGAAUUAGGAUGAAACAGAUCCGUAGGAUUUAUUCAUUUAACAUCCAACGGUUGUGGCUGAUUUGUCCCGUUUUGUCUCUUAAAGAGUGUCCCGCAGGUGAGCGGCCGUGACACUAUACUUAUGCGGGUUUCUGUUUCAUUUGUUUGGUAUCUGUCAACGUUAUGCACAAGAUUAAUUCAAGAAACAAAUAUCUACAAGA